rnacentral:rRNA from 1 species
CGCGUAGGCGGUUUUUUAAGUCUGAUGUGAAAGCCCACGGCUCAACCGUGGAGGGUCAUUGGAAACUGGAAAACUUGAGUGCAGAAGAGGAAAGUGGAAUUCCAUGUGUAGCGGUGAAAUGCGCAGAGAUAUGGAGGAACACCAGUGGCGAAGGCGGCUUACUGGUCCAUUACUGACGCUGAGGUGCGAAAGCGUGGGGAGCAAACA